rnacentral:rRNA from 1 species
GACGAACCGUGCGAACGUUGUUCGGAAUCACUGGGCUUAAAGGGCGCGUAGGCGGGUUGGCAAGUCUGUGGUGAAAGCCUCCAGCUUAACUGGAGAAGUGCCGUGGAUACUGCGAAUCUUGAGGAGGGUAGGGGCGUCUGGAACGGUCGGUGGAGCGGUGAAAUGCGUAGAUAUCACUUGGAACGCCAAAGGUGAAGACAGUCUGCUGGGGACUUGCUGACGCUGAGACACGAAAGCCAGGGGAGCGAACGGG